GCUUUAUAUUACAUUGUUGGCCGGUUAAUGUAAAUCAUGAACAGAUUUUAUGUAUCAGUCUUUAUCUUCCUGGCAAUUGUGAUGACUAUUUGUUCCAGUUGUAAAUUGCGGAUCAAUGGUUGCAGCACACCAACAAGCAGUAAUUCCUGGCCUUACAAAAAAGAUUUUACUCCAGCAUGCAAUCGUCACGACGUUUGUUAUAGAUGUG